CCCUUAGAUGUUCUGGGCCGCACGCGCGCUACACUGAUAAUGUCAACAAGCUUUACCUUGGCCGAUAGGUCUGGGCAAUCUUCGAACUAUUAUCGUGAUGGGGCUAGAUUAUUGCAACUAUUAAUCUUAAACGAGGAAUUCCUAGUAAGCGCGAGUCAUCAGCUCGCGUUGAUUACGUCCCUGCCCUUUGUACACACCGCCCGUCGCUCCUACCGAUUGGAUUGGCUGAUGAAGCGUUCGGAUUGUGGGUUCGGAGCGGUUCGCCGUUCUGGGCUUGCGAGAAGUUCGUUAAACCCUCCUAUCUAGAGGAAGGAGAAGUCGUAACA
rnacentral:rRNA from 1 species